AAGGAUUUAAGUUAAUAAAACUAGUAACCUUCAAAGUUAAAAAUAGAAACAUUCUAAGCCUUA
rnacentral:tRNA from 1 species